AACGAACGCUGGCGGCAGGCUUAACACAUGCAAGUCGAACGCCCCGCAAGGGGAGUGGCAGACGGGUGAGUAACGCGUGGGAACAUACCCUUUCCUGCGGAAUAGCUCCGGGAAACUGGAAUUAAUACCGCAUACGCCCUACGGGGGAAAGAUUUAUCGGGGAAGGAUUGGCCCGCGUUGGAUUAGCUAGUUGGUGGGGUAAAGGCCUACCAAGGCGACGAUCCAUAGCUGGUCUGAGAGGAUGAUCAGCCACAUUGGGACUGAGACACGGCCCAAACUCCUACGGGAGGCAGCAGUGGGGAAUAUUGGACAAUGGGCGCAAGCCUGAUCCAGCCAUGCCGCGUGAGUGAUGAAGGCCUUAGGGUUGUAAAGCUCUUUUCACCGGAGAAGAUAAUGACGUAUCCGGAGAAGAAGCCCC
rnacentral:rRNA from 1 species